AACCUUAUGGACCUGCGGGCGUAUACCUGCGGAGGGAUCAUUACCUAGAGUUGUAGGCCUUGCCUGCUAUCUCUUACCCAUGUCUUUUGAGUACUUACGUUUCCUCGGCGGGUCCGCCCGCCGAUUGGACAAUUUAAACCAUUUGCAGUUGCAAUCAGCGUCUGAAAAAACUUUAAUAGUUACAACUUUUAACAAUGGAUCU
rnacentral:misc_RNA from 1 species